rnacentral:rRNA from 1 species
CCCUUAGAUGUCCUGGGCCGCACGCGUGCUACACUGACGCAUACAGCGAGUACUUUCUGGGUCCGAAAGGUCUCCCAGUAAUCAGCAAUAAGUGUCGUGAUGGGGAUAGAUCUUUGGAAUUAUUGAUCUUGAACGAGGAAUGCCUAGUAAUCGUAGGUCAUCAGCCUGCGAUGAUUACGUCCCUGCCCUUUGUACACACCGCCCGUCGCUCCUACCGAUUUCGAGUGGUUCGGUGAACCUUUCGGACCGGCAAUGCCUCGUGUUGCGCCGGAAAGUCAAGUAAACCAUAUCACUUAGAGGAAGGAGAAGUCGUAACA